rnacentral:misc_RNA from 1 species
UUGAAUAAACUUGGUUGGGUUGUUGCUGGCUUUUCGGAGCAUGUGCACACCUAGCACCAUUUUUACCACCUGUGCACUUCUUGUAGAUUUGAAACACCCUCUCGAGGAAACUCGGUUUGAGGACUGCUGGGCUUUUUGCACAGCUUUCCUUGCGUUUCAGAUCUAUGUUUUUAUAUAUACCCCAUAAGAAUGUCUUAGAAUGUCAUUAAUGGGCUUUAUUGCCUUUAAAUUAAUA